GGGGGGCAACCCUGAAUCCAGCAUGCCGCGUGAGUGAUGAGGGCCUUCGGGUUGUAAAGCUCUUUCGCCCACGACGAUGGUGACGGUAGUGGGAGAAGAAGCCCCGGCUAACUUCGUGCCAGCAGCCGCGGUAAGACGGAGGGUGCAAGCGUUGUUCGGAUUGACUGGGCGUAAAGGGCGUGUAGGCGGUUGGUCAAGUCGGGUGUGAAAGCCUGGGGCUCAGCUCCAGAAGUGCAUCCGAUACUAGCCAGCUAGAGCGCGAUAGAGGAGGGUGGAAUUCCUGGUGUAGCGGUGAAAUGCGUAGAUAUCAGGAGGAACACCGGCGGCGAAGGCGGCCCUCUGGAUCGUUGCUGACGCUGAGACGCGAAAGCGUGGGGAGCAAACAGGAUUAGAUACCCUGGUAGUCCACGCCUUAAACGAUGGGUACUAGGUGUUCGGGGUGUUGACCCCCUGAGUGCCGCAGUUAACGCAUUAAGUACCCCGCCUGGGGACUACGGCCGCAAGGCUAAAACUCAAAAAAAUUGACGGA
rnacentral:rRNA from 1 species